ACAGGAGGGUCACUGUUGUCUGGAGGCAGGUGGAGGCUGAGGACAAACUGAGAAACCUAUGAAAACCAUGAGCUAAUCUGGCACAGUCGACCAGUGCCUGGUUUAAGACUGCAGGAGAUUAAGAUUUGGAAGCCCGAGGAGCUCAGUUUGUCAAACCACAUUGCUCAGACAAUUCAAUUUCCUGUCGUUCUCCAGGAUUUGCCCAGUAUCACCACCUCGUUCUUGUUCCCCUCCUGCAGAGUGGAAGAGCAGAGAAAGAAAAGUGAAAGAAGUAAAGAUGUUGGCUGGAGCCUGCCACCUCUUUCAGAGAGAACGUUAGAUCACCCUGAAAGUUGCUGCUUUUAGAAGUGCCAGUUUUACAAAGCCUGUCUACCUGUGGAUAUUUUCUGGUGGCUGACAAUAACUGGGACAUGUUUGUCGAAUAAGUAAAUGCAAGUCAUGGUGAGCGUUGGUUGCUGAAGACUGAGGCCAAGUCCCUCUCCAGCAAGUGCCCCUUUAAGGGAGCUGCCUCACGUAAGCAUAUACGCCCUCUUGCAC